rnacentral:rRNA from 1 species
UACGAAGGGGGCGAGCGUUGUUCGGAAUUACUGGGCGUAAAGGGCUCGUAGGUGGCCAACUAAGUCGGACGUGAAAUCCCUCAGCUUAACUGGGGAACUGCGUCCGAUACUGGAUGGCUUGAGUUUGGGAGAGGGAUGCGGAAUUCCAGGUGUAGCGGUGAAAUGCAUAGAUAUCUGGAGGAACACCGGUGGCGAAGGCGGCAUCCUGGACCAACACUGACACUGAGGAGCGAAAGCCAGGGGAGCAAACGGG